AAAACGACGAAAGCUAUCGACUUGAUGAUACAGUUUUUUGAGCGGUCGGGUCGGGUCGUAGGCAUAAUCCAGCCGUUGUUUUUAUUCUGCUAUACAAGGAAUCGACUUCGAUUUCGCCGUUUGGUGGGUUUGUAUAAUUGAUCGGAAUCAAUGGAAGAGUCCGGCGUAGUCCGCCGUGAAACCGAUGGAGACGGAGAAGCCGUCUUUGCACAACUGAAAGUUCUCUGCACGGAGCUUCAAAUCCUAUAGCGAAAACCUAGAAGGGAUCCGGGCACGAUCCCUGCAUUGCUCCACCUCCUUCGCCGUACCCCUCCUGCCACUCUCCAGUCCUUCUUCAACUACACUUUGUUUCCAUUGCUUCUUCUGUUAGACGCCGCCGUUGCUUGCAGAAGUGAGAGGAAAAAUCAGCCUAAGAAAUUUCCAAACACACCUUAUAGAGUGAGUGAUAAAAUGGCCGUAGGCGUAAUCUAUUGUCUUGAGGAACUUUUAAAGAAGGGUCACGUUGGAUCCGUUGAUCAGAUGGUUGUAGUUAUGAAGAAGUUGACUAGUGGUGCUGCUUUACCCCCAUCUGUGGCUGCUGAUGAGUUUCUUGAAGGGAUCAUCAGAUGUUUAAGAGAACCGGAUACAAAAGAAAGAAACAAUAUAACAACAAAGAGAACAAUACCUGCAAAAUAUCUUGAUUACAUAG